CAGUAGCCGCGGUAACACGAGGGGGGCAAGCGUUGUUCGGAAUUACUGGGCGUAAAGCGCACGUAGGCGGCUUGGUAAGUUAGAGGUGAAGGCCCGGAGCUCAACUCCGGAAUUGCCUUUAAGACUGCCGAGCUAGUAGGUGAGAGAGGUAAGUGGAAUUCCGAGUGUAGAGGUGAAAUUCGUAGAUAUUCGAAAGAACACCAGUGGCGAAGGCGGCUUACUGGCUCAUUCUAGACGCUGAGGUGCGAAAGCGUGGGGAGCAAACAGGAUUAGAUACCCCUGUAGUCCCUGUCUCUUAUAA
rnacentral:rRNA from 1 species